AGAGUUUGGAUCCUGGCUCAGAGCGAACGCUGGCGGCGUGCCUAACACAUGCAAGUCGAACGUGAACGGAGCAAUCCUAGUAAAGUGGCGUACGGGUGAGUAACACGUAGGUAAUCUACCUUACAGUUCGGAAUAACCUGACGAAAGUCGGGCUAAUACUGGAUAGAGCGACGGAAGCCGUAACGGUUUUUUCGGGAAAGGGAGCUCGAUAAGAGCCUUCGCUGUAAGAUGAGCCUGCGUCUGAUUAGUUAGUUGGUGGGGUAAUGGCCUACCAAGACGAUGAUCAGUAGCUGGUCUGAGAGGAUGAUCAGCCACACUGGAACUGAAACACGGUCCAGACUCCUACGGGAGGCAGCAGUGGGGAAUCUUGCGCAAUGGACGAAAGUCUGACGCAGCCACGCCGCGUGAGUGAAGAAGGCCUUCGGGUUGUAAAGCUCUGUCACCUGGGACGAAAACACUGACGGUUAAUAGCCGUCGGAAUUGACGGUACCAGGGGAGGAAGCACCGGCUAACUUCGUGCCAGCAGCCGCGGUAAUACGAAGGGUGCAAGCGUUGCUCGGAAUUAUUGGGCGUAAAGGGUUGGUAGGUGGUCUUGUUUGUCUAAGGUGAAAUCCCAUGGCUUAACUGUGGGAAGUGCCUUAGAAACGGCAAGACUAGAGUCCUA
rnacentral:rRNA from 1 species